GAUGAACGCUGGCGGCGUGCCUAAUACAUGCAAGUCGAGCGAACAGACGAGGAGCUUGCUCCUCUGACGUUAGCGGCGUACGGGUGAGUAACACGUGGAUAACCUACCUAUAAGACUGGGAUAACUUCGGGAAACCGGAGCUAAUACCGGAUAAUAUAUUGAACCGCAUGGUUCAAUAGUGAAAGACGGUUUUGCUGUCACUUAUAGAUGGAUCCGCGCCGCAUUAGCUAGUUGGUAAGGUAACGGCUUACCAAGGCAACGAUGCGUAGCCGACCUGAGAGGGUGAUCGGCCACACUGGAACUGAGACACGGUCCAGACUCCUACGGGAGGCAGCAGUAGGGAAUCUUCCGCAAUGGGCGAAAGCCUGACGGAGCAACGCCGCGUGAGUGAUGAAGGUCUUCGGAUCGUAAAACUCUGUUAUUAGGGAAGAACAAAUGUGUAAGUAACUAUGCACGUCUUGACGGUACCUAAUCAGAAAGCCACGGCUAACUACGUG
rnacentral:rRNA from 1 species